rnacentral:rRNA from 1 species
GCUGAACAUCGACAUCUUGAACGCAUAUUGCKGCCACGGGUUAGCCCGUGGCCACGCCUGUCCGAGGGUCGGCUUAUAAAUUAUCACGACGCCCAACAAGUCGUGGCUUGGGUUUUGCCAGCUGGCUUGAUCCCCUAUGCUUGGUUUUAUUACCGGGUUUGGGUGCCAGAUCUGUGGCGUUUCCCCAAUGUAUCCGGGCACAUCUGCAUCUUUUUGGUAUACUGGAUGAAGACGUGGCGACGGAGUCGUGGCUCAGUGAUUUAAACACGCUCCGAGUCGUAAUCGUCUCUUCUCAUGUUUGUGAUGGUGCGAUGUUGUCUGUCAACAAUACAGCUCAUUGGGCGUAUUUUUUCCUGACCUCGGAUCAGACGUGAUUACCCGCUGAACUUAGCAUAUCACUAAGCGGAGGAAAAGAAACUAACAAGGAUUCCCUUAGUAACGGCGAGUGAACAGGGAUGAGCCCAGCACCGAAGCCUGUGGCCAUUUGGUUACUAGGCAAUGUGGUGUUUAGGUCGUUUCCGCAGAGACACUGCUCCUCUCUAAGUCCAUCAAUGAGUACGGUAGUACUGACAUGGCCCAUGGAGGGUGAAAGGCCCGUAAGAGAGGAGUUUUGGUGUGACAGUGUCUCUCUGGUUUGACCUUGGAGUCGGGUUGUUUGGGAAUGCAGCCCUAAGUGGGUGGGUAAACUCCAUUCCAAGGCUAAAUACAAGCACGAGUCGGAUAGCGAACAAGUACCGUGAGGGAAAGUUGAAAAGUACUUUGAAGAGAGAGUAAACAGUGCGUGAAACCGCUUAGAGGUAAACGGGUGGAGUUGAACUGUAAUCUCUGAGAAUUCAGCUGGCGAAUUUUGCUUGAGCUUGGUCAAAAUGGGCAGGGCCCCGGGGUAUGCUUAGGUGCAUGUUCUGGCCUUCGGGUUGGGAUGCGCGUUGCUCUUAUCAAGGGCUGCGCGCCUCGGGUGUCCGGCUGGCUCUGUCACCAGUGCACUUUCUCGGAGUGAUCACCACGACCGGCGUGCUGCUUGGCUGUUCUAGUUAAACCGAACGUUCAUCGUCCUUGUGGCGUUGGGCGGUCGACACGGCAGGAAACUGGGGGCUUGCUUCGGCUUGCCUUCCGGUGUUUGUCGGCUUUAACGGUUCUAUGCGGUGUGUCGGAGACGGCGGCUAGUAGUGUGUGCGUGCGUAUCUAUCUGUUGGCAUACUCUGGUUUGGUGGCUAUGUGCUUGUUCAAGCAGGCCUAGUUAUGGCCGGGGUAUGUCAGUGGGUGGUUGCGUGUGUGGCACUUUUCUGGGCCAACAGUCUGUGGUGUUGUGGUAGACUAUCCACCUGACCCGUCUUGAAACACGGACCAAGGAGAGUAACAUGUGCGCGAGUCAUUGGGCGUAACGAAACCCACAGGCGCAGUGAAAGUAAAAGUCUGGCUUGUCCAGUCUAAGGUGAGAUCCUGUCGUUGUCAUGCGUGGUAUCACCAAGCUUGGAGCGGUAGGCGCAUCACCGGCCCGUCCCAUGACGUGGUCACAGUCCUCGGAUUGUGCGCCGUGGGGGCGGAGCAUGAGCGUACAUGUUGAGACCCGAAAGAUGGUGAACUAUGCUUGCGCAGGUUGAAGCCAGAGGAAACUCUGGUGGAGGACCGCAGCGAUUCUGACGUGCAAAUCGAUCGUCAAACGUGAGUAUAGGGGCGAAAGACUAAUCGAACCAUCUAGUAGCUGGUUCCCUCCGAAGUUUCCCCAGGGAUAGCUGAACAUCGACAUCUUG